rnacentral:rRNA from 1 species
GACGAACGCUGGCGGCGUGCUUAACACAUGCAAGUCGAACGGUGAAGCGCCUUCCUUUUUGGUGGGUGUGGAUGAGUGGCGAACGGGUGAGUAACACGUGAGUAACCUGCCCCCUUCUUCUGGAUAACCGCAUGAAGGUGUGGCUAAUACGGGAUAUUCUGGGUCUGUCGCAUGAUGGGUCUGGGAAAGAUAUUGUUUCGGUGGGGGAUGGGCUCGCGGCCUAUCAGCUUGUUGGUGGGGUGAUGGCCUACCAAGGCGGUGACGGGUAGCCGGCCUGAGAGGGUGGACGGUCACACUGGGACUGAGACACGGCCCAGACUCCUACGGGAGGCAGCAGUGGGGAAUAUUGCACAAUGGGCGCAAGCCUGAUGCAGCGACGCCGCGUGAGGGAUGGAGGCCUUCGGGUUGUGAACCUCUUUCGCCAGUGAAGCAGGCCUGCCUCGUUUGUGGGUGGGUCGACGGUAGCUGGAUAAGAAGCGCCGGCUAACUACGUG